GAUGAAGAACGUAGCGAAAUGCGAUAAGUAAUGUGAAUUGCAGAAUUCAGUGAAUCAUCGAAUCUUUGAACGCACAUUGCGCCCCUUGGUAUUCCGAGGGGCAUGCCUAUUCGAGCGUCAUUACAACCCUCAAGCUCAGCUUGGUGUUGGGCCCCGCCGCCCCGGCGGGCCCUAAAGUCAGUGGCGGUGCCGUCCGGCUCCGAGCGUAGUAAUUCUUCUCGCUCUGGAGGUCCGGUCGUGUGCUCGCCAGCAACCCCCAAUUUUUUUCAGGUUGACCUCGGAUCAGGUAGGGAUACCCGCUGAACUUAAGCAUAUCAAUAAGCGGAGGA
rnacentral:misc_RNA from 1 species